AUAAAAAAAAAAUACUUACAAACUUCAGUACCGGUAGUCAAUGUUUCAACACUCUGAAGUUCUACAAAACCCAAGAGCUAUUCCAGCCAACUCGCCACUGAGAACCGAUACACCAACCUCAAUACUGGUACACCUUGUCAAAAUUAUAGUUUGCAUAUUUUGUAGAUUUUCAUCUCUGGAGUCUAUUUUUAUGCCGUAUUCAUGCUAAAACAUUUGCAUAUUUCUCAAACUAAACUAGAAUCAUCUAAAUAGUAUUAAAUAC
rnacentral:lncRNA from 1 species